rnacentral:rRNA from 1 species
AACGAACGCUGGCGGCAGGCCUAACACAUGCAAGUCGAACGCUCCGCAAGGAGAGUGGCAGACGGGUGAGUAACACGUGGGAAUUUUCCUAUCGGUACGGAAUAGCUCAGGGAAACUUGAGGUAAUACCGCAUACGCCCUUCGGGGGAAAGAUUUAUCGCCGAUAGAUGAGCCCGCGUCUGAUUAGCUAGUGGGUGGGGUAAUGGCCUACCAAGGCGACGAUCAGUAGCUGGUCUGAGAGGAUGACCAGCCACACUGGGACUGAGACACGGCCCAGACUCCUACGGGAGGCAGCAGUGGGGAAUAUUGGACAAUGGGCGCAAGCCUGAUCCAGCCAUGCCGCGUGAGUGACGAAGGUCUUCGGAUUGUAAAGCUCUUUUGCCAGGGACGAUAAUGACGGUACCUGGAGAAUAAGCCCCGGCUAACUUCGUGCCAGCCGCCGCUGUAAGAC